rnacentral:misc_RNA from 1 species
CUUGAGAAGCUAAGUGACAUACAAUGUCAACCUGAGUCACAGCUAAAGUUCAUUACCGAGGCCUGGCUACAGAUAGUUGAAUGCAGGCGAGUUUUGAAAUGGACUUAUGCCUAUGGAUAUUAUUUACCUGAGCAUGAACAUGGCAAGAGAGUAUUCUUUGAGUAUUUGCAAGGUAAGUCAUCUCUUAUUUUUGAAGCAGAUAAUUUAUCCUUGUGGUGGUCUUAUCACAGAGACUAAUACACAGGUGAAGCCGAGUCUGGGUUGGAACGUCUUCAUCAAUGUGCUGAGAAGGAGCUUCAGGCUUAUCUAAAUGCGGAGGGCCCAUCAAAGGAUUUCAAUGAGUUCCGCACUAAACUUGCUGGAUUGACCAGGUGAUUCUGAGACUAUUCUAGCCCUUUUUCUUUUGUUCUUUCCUCCUACCCUCCUGUCUGGUUAUUGAACCUUAGUUGUGAGACUUGCACAGUACUAAGGAUUUUUUAGGAAAAGUAGUAUUGCUGUCCAUCUGUUCUCUCCUGUGAAUACCAGACUGGAUAUUGUGUUUGAUAUGUUGUAUAGUUUACCUGAUUAUAUGCCCUAAAGUUGGCUUUAGAUUGUUCUUGGACUGGCAACAAAGUAGUUGUUUAGCUUGAGCGUUGGAAAUACCUGAGACACUAAUUUUACCAUCAUAAUAUAAGAGUGGAAAGAAAAUAAAUAAAUAGACUUGGAGAAUGACAAUUUGUCUAUGCUGUGGAAUUCCAUUAAUUGGAUGCUUGUUUGAGAUAAAUAACUCAACUGAGUUUUUAUUUUAUUUCACGUAUUUGCUGUUGUGUUUUGGAGUUCACAGCUUUACCUAUUUGCCUUUUUCCUCCUAUUACUUUAACAUUUUAAUAUCUUCCUUGGUUGAAUAACAGUGUGACUCGGAACUACUUUGAGAAUUUGGUUCGGGCGUUGGAGAAUGGUCUAUCAGAUGUGGACUCUCAUGGUGCCAGCAGCAGGACAACAGGCUCAAGGAGCUUGGGAGGUGGAAGCAGCAGGGUUAGAAGUGGGAGAGGCAAGGGCUCAACAUCCAGGUCAAGUGGCCCUAGCAGAAACAUUGAUGAUUCAGGCCACUGGUCAUGUGAACAUUGUACGUAUGCAAAUAUCAGGUCAGCUACCAUUUGUGCAAUAUGCCAGCAACGUCGAUAAAUUUAAUUUUUCUACCCUGGUCAGCCACCUGGACUGGAAAUAUCAGUUUUGCCACUUUGGAGAAAGUCCAAUUACAUUGGGGAGACACGUUUUAGAGCACUGCGGGGGAGGGAAAGAAUAAAGCUACAUUUGAUUUCUCAGCUGUAUGACCUGAACUGCAAUGAUGGAGAAUUGAAAUGGGGAGGGGGUUGAAAAGGGAAGUGUUUGUCUUGUUUCUGGAGUCGGCUGUAAAUAGUUUGCCAUUUACUGCGAUCUUUAACUUGUAUUGGGUAUCUUAUAUCAGGAUCAUCCAUGCAAAAUAUAUAUAUUCAUCAUCUGUAAUCUUUACGAUCAUUUAUUCAUGUAUGUUACUAAUAGAUUUAUAGUGUACUUGAUGCUUUCAAGUGUUUUGUAGGAAUUAAAACUGCUUGCGGUUGGUAGGAUAAAUAAAUAAAUAUGUUGUACGAUUCCUUUUUGCCUAGUAUUGGUAUGUCAGCAGGAUGAGCUACUUAUACCUUUUAAGAUAUUCACAAUCAA